UCUCAACUUUUCCUAGAAUGGUAGUGGCAGUGAUAAUUCAGUUGUUAAUCUGAAGAAGUGGAAGCAAAGGAAUCUGCUGAUCUGUAAAGGACAAAUCUGCUCAGCAGUCAUGCAAUAAGGGUCAGCAAAUAACAAGGCGUGAUGGAAUAAAGAAAUCUCCUUGGAGCAUUGUCCUUAGAGAAAGCCCCGCAGACAACUGGAGAAAUGAUUAUUUUUCUGGGAGAUUUCUGGAAAUGCUGCCCUAUAAGAAUGUGCCUACCACGAAGAAAUAUGCAUCAUUUCCCCUUGUCAACCAUUAAUUUUCCUAAUAUAAAAUCAAGCAGCUGUUUCCUUGUUUUUGUGGUUUUACGUCUUUUAUUUCAUUUAUUUCUCGGUAAUUAACUUCCAUGCAACUGUAACCCUCAUUUUGUGUAUGAAUUUUGUGAAAAAUAAAUCAGGUCCAGAGUUUCUUGAUUCCAGAA